rnacentral:lncRNA from 1 species
CGCCAAUCAGCGGAAGCCGCCGGGGCCGCCUAGAGAAGAGGCUGUGCUUCGGCGCUCCGGCUCCUCAGAGAGCCUCGGCUAGCUGGGAUUCUGUCCCUGACCGUCUUCACAGUCCAGGUGAUCUUGACUACUGCUUUACAGAGAAUUGGAUCUGAGGUGUGGAAACAGGAAGAGAACUAGAACUGGAAGUAAAGCAUUGAAGAUGUGACUGAAUUGCUGCAAUCUCAUGAUCAAAUUUGAAUGGAUGAGGAGUUGCUUUUUAGGGAUGAGCAAAGAAAGUGGUUUCUCGAGAUGGAAUCUACUGGUUGCUCCUUGAGGGCAGGACAGUUCUUAUGGCUUUAUCCGUUGCGUAAGCACAGAGAGGUCUGCGAGGUCAAAACUAUUGUCAUGAUAGCAAGAUGCCUGUCUUUUUCAUUUAUUCUCACGGUGUGCAGAGGCUACAUGAUGUGUGAUGACAUCCUCAUUGAUGUUAAUGAAUGGUGCUAUACUUGAAUUUUCUAAGGUGUCAUUAGCAAUUCUCCUGCCUCAGCCUCCUGCAUAACUGGGACUACAGGGAAGCACCAUUUUCCACAAAACUCUCAAGAAGGACUUGUUGCAACUGGAAAAGCAAUUAAAUGUGAAUCGUGAUCCAGGAGAAAGUAACAACUCACAUAACUCCCAAAUUAAAAGUUUUCCAAAGAUAUAUCAUUUUUUUUCUCUUGGCCUUUUAAGAAACUAGCCAACAAAUACUCUUGACAGGUUUGUGUUUGGUUUUGAAAACACACACCUUAGUGUACUGAAAGAAAAACAAUUUCUUUUAAUUUGGUUUGUUGGUCCCACACCCCAUCUAUCAAUGUAUGUGCUAUUUACAAAUAAGUUCUAUACAGUAUUUUUGCAGUACCUUUGAUAAUUCCUAGACCUCUAUUUUCAUUCUGUGUAUUAAUGUGAAUAACAGAUGGAUAUUUUAAUAUUUAAGGCAGAUGGUAAACUUUCCUAUAGGUCUUGUGAGACUUCGUCUUAUAGGCUGAACACCAUUCACAAAAUGUAAUAAUGCUUCAUUCCUUCAGGUUGAGGUAAAGAACUUGAGCAACUGGAUUAGCAAAGCUGCAAAGAAUGAAAUGUGGCCUAAGAUGUAAUUAUGUUCUCUGCCCUUCCUUUGGGCCAGGGUAGUUUUGCACUUGACACAAUGGAAAAUAGGCCAUAAAGCCUGAAAAUAAAAUGUUCUAAACCCCAA